rnacentral:rRNA from 1 species
AGCGGCGGAUGGGUGAGUAACAGUGGACGGACGCCCCAUAGUCUGGGAUACCACUUGGAAACAGGUGCUAAUACCGGAUAAUAAAGCAGAUCGCAUGAUCAGCUUAUAAAAGGCGGCGUAAGCUGUCGCUAUGGGAUGGCCCCGCGGUGCAUUAGCUAGUUGGUAAGGUAACGGCUUACCAAGGCAAUGAUGCAUAGCCGAGUUGAGAGACUGAACGGCCACAUUGGGACUGAGACACGGCCCAAACUCC